ACUCCUACGGGAGGCAGCAGUGGGGAAUAUUGCACAAUGGGGGAAACCCUGAUGCAGCGACGCCGCGUGAGUGAUGAAGUAUUUCGGUAUGUAAAGCUCUAUCAGCAGGGAAGAUAAUGACGGUACC
rnacentral:rRNA from 1 species